rnacentral:lncRNA from 1 species
AUCAACAAUAGGAAGCCAAUACAGAUGGUUAAGACUUUGUGACCAGGUGGUUAUCAAAGAAGGAAAGGGAGGGGUCCCAGAAAGGGUUGAGGAAGAGUGAAUAGAAGCCACAUAGACUCUUCCGAGGAGUACCCAUGUGUCACUUCUGGGACAGGCAGCCUCACUCCUGCCAGGGCCGUGCAGGGCAGUCCACAGGCCAAAGGUCCAAGUAGAUUCAGCGCUGCUGAGUUGCUUCUGGGAACCCACCAGUCUCCAAGCAACUUGACUUCAUUAUGCAGAUCCAGCAAGACACAGAGACAUUUUUGAAUCCACAAAUAACUUCUAUCUAGGACCAGUGAUGACCCAGCUUCAAGCAUGCAGCAGAUGAGGACAAUGCUCCAGAGGAUGGAGAAGCAACAUGAUACGAGGAAUCUGUGUCCCUGAAUGACCAUUUGGUGCACAGCUGCCCCAAUGACCUGGAUCACUCACUUCAGACAGGUUAAUUCCCUUCAGAGCUGUUACGUGAGAAAGAAUAAACUUCUUUGUUCUUUAA